CGGGACACGUGGUAUCCUGUCUGAAUAUGGGGGGACCAUCCUCCAAGGCUAAAUACUCCUGACUGACCGAUAGUGAACCAGUACCGUGAGGGAAAGGCGAAAAGAACCCCGGCGAGGGGAGUGAAAAAGAACCUGAAACCGUGUACGUACAAGCAGUGGGAGCACGCUUAGGCGUGUGACUGCGUACCUUUUGUAUAAUGGGUCAGCGACUUAUAUUCUGUAGCAAGGUUAACCGAAUAGGGGAGCCGAAGGGAAACCGAGUCUUAACUGGGCGUUAAGUUGCAGGGUAUAGACCCGAAACCCGGUGAUCUAGCCAUGGGCAGGUUGAAGGUUGGGUAACACUAACUGGAGGACCGAACCGACUAAUGUUGAAAAAUUAGCGGAUGACUUGUGGCUGGGGGUGAAAGGCCAAUCAAACCGGGAGAUAGCUGGUUCUCCCCGAAAGCUAUUUAGGUAGCGCCUCGUGAAUUCAUCUCCGGGGGUAGAGCACUGUUUCGGCAAGGGGGUCAUCCCGACUUACCAACCCGAUGCAAACUGCGAAUACCGGAGAAUGUUAUCACGGGAGACACACGGCGGGUGCUAACGUCCGUCGUGAAGAGGGAAACAACCCAGACCGCCAGCUAAGGUCCCAAAGUCAUGGUUAAGUGGGAAACGAUGUGGGAAGGCCCAGACAGCCAGGAUGUUGGCUUAGAAGCAGCCAUCAUUUAAAGAAAGCGUAAUAGCUCACUGGUCGAGUCGGCCUGCGCGGAAGAUGUAACGGGGCUAAACCAUGCACCGAAGCUGCGGCAGCGACGCUGAUGCGUUGUUGGGUAGGGGAGCGUUCUGUAAGCCUGUGAAGGUGUGCUGUGAGGCAUGCUGGAGGUAUCAGAAGUGCGAAUGCUGACAUAAGUAACGAUAAAGCGGGUGAAAAGCCCGCUCGCCGGAAGACCAAGGGUUCCUGUCCAACGUUAAUCGGGGCAGGGUGAGUCGACCCCUAAGGCGAGGCCGAAAGGCGUAGUCGAUGGGAAACAGGUUAAUAUUCCUGUACUUGGUGUUACUGCGAAGGGGGGACGGAGAAGGCUAUGUUGGCCGGGCGACGGUUGUCCCGGUUUAAGCGUGUAGGCUGGUUUUCCAGGCAAAUCCGGAAAAUCAAGGCUGAGGCGUGAUGACGAGGCACUACGGUGCUGAAGCAACAAAUGCCCUGCUUCCAGGAAAAGCCUCUAAGCAUCAGGUAACAUCAAAUCGUACCCCAAACCGACACAGGUGGUCAGGUAGAGAAUACCAAGGCGCUUGAGAGAACUCGGGUGAAGGAACUAGGCAAAAUGGUGCCGUAACUUCGGGAGAAGGCACGCUGAUAUGUAGGUGAAGCGACUUGCUCGUGGAGCUGAAAUCAGUCGAAGAUACCAGCUGGCUGCAACUGUUUAUUAAAAACACAGCACUGUGCAAACACGAAAGUGGACGUAUACGGUGUGACGCCUGCCCGGUGCCGGAAGGUUAAUUGAUGGGGUCAGCGCAAGCGAAGCUCUUGAUCGAAGCCCCGGUAAACGGCGGCCGUAACUAUAACGGUCCUAAGGUAGCGAAAUUCCUUGUCGGGUAAGUUCCGACCUGCACGAAUGGCGUAAUGAUGGCCAGGCUGUCUCCACCCGAGACUCAGUGAAAUUGAACUCGCUGUGAAGAUGCAGUGUACCCGCGGCAAGACGGAAAGACCCCGUGAACCUUUACUAUAGCUUGACACUGAACAUUGAGCCUUGAUGUGUAGGAUAGGUGGGAGGCUUUGAAGUGUGGACGCCAGUCUGCAUGGAGCCGGCCUUGAAAUACCACCCUUUAAUGUUUGAUGUUCUAACGUUGACCCGUGAUCCGGGUUGCGGACAGUGUCUGGUGGGUAGUUUGACUGGGGCGGUCUCCUCCUAAAGAGUAACGGAGGAGCACGAAGGUUGGCUAAUCCUGGUCGGACAUCAGGAGGUUAGUGCAAUGGCAUAAGCCAGCUUGACUGCGAGCGUGACGGCGCGAGCAGGUGCGAAAGCAGGUCAUAGUGAUCCGGUGGUUCUGAAUGGAAGGGCCAUCGCUCAACGGAUAAAAGGUACUCCGGGGAUAACAGGCUGAUACCGCCCAAGAGUUCAUAUCGACGGCGGUGUUUGGCACCUCGAUGUCGGCUCAUCACAUCCUGGGGCUGAAGUAGGUCCCAAGGGUAUGGCUGUUCGCCAUUUAAAGUGGUACGCGAGCUGGGUUUAGAACGUCGUGAGACAGUUCGGUCCCUAUCUGCCGUGGGCGCUGGAGAACUGAGGGGGGCUGCUCCUAGUACGAGAGGACC
rnacentral:rRNA from 1 species